AAUUUAUUGUUCAGUAAAUGUACCAUUUUGAUUUAAAAAUUUUGUCUGUAACAUACUGGGAACAUAUUUAAAGUGGAAAAUAAAUAAACACAAUACACUAAGUUUACAAUGGAGGAAACAGGUGGAAGGUGAAGGCCCUCAGCUUUAUCUGCUGGGUUCAGAGCACCUUUUACACACUGAUUAGCAAAGGAGAAAUUAUACUUCAGCUAUAUUUCUUCUCUCAUUUCCAUAGUGUAUAUGGAAUUGAAAGGGACUGAGUUAAACCUUUUUUACUAUUAAUCAAGGAAACUGAACUCAGAGAAAUUAAGAGAUUGCCUAAGUCAGCCAAUGAAUGGCUGGUUCUCAUCAUAGUCAGAAACACAAGUUAAGGCAUUUGACUGCCAAGUUCAAGUCCUGGCUUCUGACCCUUUUAAGCUACAUAUUCUUGGGCAACUGAUUUCACUUCUUUGAGUCUAGGUUUUCUUAUCAGUAAAGUAGAAGCUAAGUUUAUGUACUGCAGAGAGCGACUGUGAGAACUGAGAGAGCCUCCCUGUGGCAUACUUGGCGGGAUGCCUUAUUUGUAGUAAGCACUCAGUUUUAGCUGUGACGGCUGCAGCAUUCUCAAUAAUAAAAACCAGGACUAGACCCCAGCUUUCUUGACCUCCCCUUCCAGGGUCUUUUCCUUUACACAUGUAAUCACAGAUGAUAUUAAAAUUUUUAUCAUGACCUGGGCACUAACUGGUCAGAAUGAACCUAUACUACCAAGAUGGCAGCCUUUGUGUUCCCUGCCUGGCAGGAAAUACACAGGACAAUGGUUGGCUCUACAGUUCUUAGAAUGGAUGUAUGGCUGCCCUUUGUAUUAUUUUAGGGAGGCAUUAAUGACUGUAGAAUAGGAAUUACUUGUAGUGGGGCUGUCACAGACAGUGACACCUCAAAUAAACCACACAACCUCUCUGUAGCUCACAUUUAAUACUCAGAACACCGUGCAAAGUUGUUAUGGGGAUCAACAAGGAUCAGAAAUGCAAAAGCCCUUUGAAAAAGGGUAAACCAUUACACAAAUGCAGGAGAUUUGUGAAAUACCUAACCUUCAAGAAAACAGGUUCCAGGGGGAAAUCAGCUAAGAUCUCCAUACUUCUUCCACUUUGUAACAGUUUACACUAAACCAACCUAUCUAUGGACUUAAAACAUCACGUUCUAUUUCUUUUUUUUUACAUUGGACAAGUCUAUCAAAAUGGAAGGUUUUCUGUACUUUUCUUUAGAACGUGGAAUUCUUCCUAUUAACCAGAAAUCAUUUCUCUGAAAUUUUCCUAUUAACUGGUAAUCAUUUCUCUGAACUUUUCCUUCUUUCUGUAAUGUAAUGGAGCUAUUUUAUAAUAGCUUAGUGAAAUUUUCACAAAUUACAUCUGCAAACUAGAAACUCUGUGUGUUCUUUAGUCUUACUUUUUUGCUUAUGCUUGACCAAACUUCUUUCACAUGUGUAUGAUGAAUAUCUAAACUUGUUGAAGGUUGGUAAGUACUGCUUUAAACCAUAUUACAGAAUUGGUAAUUUUUAAACAUCACAGCAGCAUAAGUUAUAACCAGUGCUAAACAUCUAUUUUCAAUUUAUGGCAUUUGUGCCUCUUCAAUAACACAUUGGCCUUUUUCCUCUUUUUGACUCAACUUUGUUUCUGUUUCUUAUUCUCUUUAAAGAUUGUUUCAAUCUGUCUCACUUCUGAGCCAACAUUUCUGAGAUUAGAAUACCAUUUGAGAUCUUUUACUUACCCACGUCUUGUGGACAAAUGCCUCCACAGACAUUUACAUGAACACACAGUCACACAGAGCUCAUCACACAAGGACUCAGCUCCUAUCUUUGAUCACACGUGUGCUCGCAAAUAUACAAAGCGCUGCUGGAAAUAAUGAGGCAGUUUUCAAAGUUGCUCACAACAGGUCUGUUCCUUUACCUUAAAGUGACAUCUCACUCAUUCUUCAGCAUGUUCUUCAUUCAGAUUCUCAGAGGUGCAAACAUUGUUUCGGCAAGUGUGUGUAGUUGUAGAGUGGAUUGAGACCUGAAGAGGUCUUGACUCGGCAGAGAUGAUGACAUCACACAUACCUUGAUGUUGGCGUGCUGGCUCCCACCCCAGGUUCAGAGCAUGUCCCUUGGUACUAGUUCUCCUUUAUAUUUGCCU
ensembl:lncRNA